CAGAGGAGAAACGGAGCAGUGAGAGCAGAAUAAGCAGGCUAUGGGUGGAAGCAGGACAUAAAAUCCUCCUGGGGAAACUGGUCUCAGGGACGCAGUGAGCACAGGACUGGUACCUUCUGUGGUCCAGACAGAGGACACAAGAUGUGGCUAUGGGCAUCCAGAUAAAAUGGCUGUGAAAAUGUAUGUGUAUGUCUUAAAGGAGGCACGUGACUUCUUUUCACUCAGGUGCUGAGUGGAAAAAAUUCUCUAAAGAAUGGCUAAAUGCAGCUGAAAGAUAGAUGCAUGCGCAUUUCUACACCCUUCCCUCCACCCCUGGUCUGGAACCCAGCCCCACCUGACUGCCUGAGAUGCCCACUUGGCCAGGAGUAAAUAAGAGGCAGACCCAAACAAUCCUUUGAGCUGGUACACUGCAAAGAGCAUUUUUUUAAAAGUUGUUAGUUACUUUCUAAGCAAGGAGAUUUCUUUCCAUAGCAAAUCUCUCUAGAUGGUUCCAAAGGGAGGUAUCAGUCACCAGCUUCCCUGGCCAGUAACUUCUGAACUUCAUAACAUGAAAUCCCUGCUCCACACACUAUCAGGAUGGUUUAAAUGCAAAACUCUAACCAACUCCUUGGCCAAAUGUGAUGUCAUUGAACAAGGUAAUUUCAUCCCCUUAGUUGAAUUAACGUAUGCAGAGUCAGGCACUGGGAGACAGGAAGAUGCCAAGUUAAGGACCCACAGCUUCUAUGCUCACAGAAGUCAAGUCCUCCACCAAGAAUAACGGUACAGGGACAAAGUAGACUAGGCCAUUCCUUACUCCAGGAAGAGGCUUGGGAGAGUCUGUCUAAGAAGAUGACUGUCCUAGUG